UUAUGUAAGACAGAUGUGAAAUCCCCGGGCUCAACCUGGGAACUGCAUUUGUGACUGCAUGGCUAGAGUACGGUAGAGGGGGAUGGAAUUCCGCGUGUAGCAGUGAAAUGCGUAGAUAUGCGGAGGAACACCGAUGGCGAAGGCAAUCCCCUGGACCUGUACUGACGCUCAUGCACGAAAGCGUGGGGAGCAAACAGGAUUAGAUACCCUGGUAGUCCACGCCCUAAACGAUGUCAACUGGUUGUUGGGAAUUAGUUUUCUCAGUAACGAAGCUAACGCGUGAAGUUGACCGCCUGGGGAGUACGGCCGCAAGGUUGAAACUCAAAUAAAUUGACGGGA
rnacentral:rRNA from 1 species